UAGAUACUCCCUCCGUCUCAAAAUUCUUGUUUUAGAUUCGUCUAGAGACGGAUGUAUCUAAUACUAAAACGUGACUUGAUACAUCCGUAUUUAGACAAAUGUAAGACAAGAAUUUUGGGACGGAGGGAGUACUAU
rfam:Triticum aestivum genome assembly, contig: Triticum_aestivum_CS42_TGACv1_scaffold_433429_5DL